rnacentral:rRNA from 1 species
UACGUAGGGGGCAAGCGUUGUCCGGAUUUAUUGGGCGUAAAGAGCUUGUAGGCGGUUUGUCGCGUCUGCCGUGAAAAUUCGAGGCUCAACCUCGAACUUGCGGUGGGUACGGGCAGACUAGAGUGUGGUAGGGGAGACUGGAAUUCCUGGUGUAGCGGUGAAAUGCGCAGAUAUCAGGAGGAACACCGAUGGCGAAGGCAGGUCUCUGGGCCACUACUGACGCUGAGAAGCGAAAGCAUGGGGAGCGAACAGGA